UAAUUGUUGAGAUUCUGCUUCUUUCGAUCGUUGUGUAACUGUGAAUGUGGUUGCAGCCGUGGCCAUGAAGACCUUCAGGGCGCCGUGAGGAGACCAGGAAGGAUCCUCUGAACCAGGAGACCUGGUCGACGUCUCUCUGGACAAAUGGAACCCCCCUGUGAUCAACCAGUGAUGACGACCCGUCGGCGCCGUGGGGCAGGGUGACCGUUCGACGCUGCGCCGAUGCUGCUCGUCUGCUGGUACGUGAACCUUUAACUCAAGUCUAUGAAUUAAAGCGCUUCGCUGUGAUGAGGUCAUUUCCUGCCAUUCGUAGUUUCCACCAGAGGUCCAACGGGCCGAUGACGGUCCAAACCUUCCUUGGAUGUCUGAGCGAAGAGCA